GAUGAACGCUAGCGGCAGGCUUAAUACAUGCAAGUCGAGGGGUAGCAAGAUUGUAGCAAUACAAUUGUUGACGACCGGCAAACGGGUGCGGAACACGUACACAACCUUCCUACAAGUGGGGAAUAGCCCAGAGAAAUUUGGAUUAAUACCCCGUAACAUAGCGAUGUGGCAUCACAUUGCUAUUAUAGAUUCGGAGCUUGUUGAUGGGUGGGCGGCUGAUUAGAUAGUUGGCGGGGUAACGGCCCACCAAGUCUACGAUCAGUAGCUGGUCUGAGAGGAUGAACAGCCACACUGGGACUGAGACACGGCCCAGACUCCUACGGGAGGCAGCAGUGGGGAAUUUUGGACAAUGGGGGCAACCCUGAUCCAGCCAUUCCGCGUGAGUGAAGAAGGCCUUCGGGUUGUAAAGCUCUUUCGGCAGGAACGAAACGGCGAGCUCUAACAUAGCUUGCUAAUGACGGAACCUGAAGAAGAAGCACCGGCUAACUACGUGCCAGCCGCCGCCGUAAAAC
rnacentral:rRNA from 1 species